GGGAGCGUAGCUCAGUUUGGUUAGAGCGUCUGCCUGUCACGCAGAAGGUCGCGAGUUCGAGCCUCGUCGUUCCCGCCA
rnacentral:tRNA from 1 species